CCAAGAUGUUUGGUGACUUUUUAGAAAUUUGGUGAAUUUUGUCAAUUCUCCCUGAAGUUAAACUGGUGGCCGUAAGAUUUAUUUAUUUAUUUGUUUGUUUGUUUAUUUAUAUAUUUGUUUAUUUAUUUAUUUAUUUAUUAGCGACCUUAGCGAAUGAAAUAAAUUUUCCAGACUGAACGCUCUGCUCUUUCUGAACUAAUUCUGGUUUUUUUUCCUCCCGUUAUACUGCUCUAUAAUCUGGUCAAGUUUCUCUCCGACUGCAAAUUUAAUUCUAAUUAAAUAAUGAAGCGUUAAUUAGCAGCAAUAAAACUAAACCCACCCGAUGAUGAUGAUUAAGUCCUGAUCUGCAGAUCUGCGUGGUCGUAGUCAUUAUUUAUUUAUUUAUUUAUUUAUUUAUUUAUUUAUUUAUUUAUUUAUUAGCGACCUUAGCGAAUGAAAUAAAUUUUCCAGACUGAACGCUCUGCUCUUUCUGAACUAAUUCUGGUUUUUUUUUCCUCCCGUUAUACUGCUCUAUAAUCUGGUCAAGUUUCUCUCCGACUGCAAAUUUAAUUCUAAUUAAAUAAUGAAGCGUUAAUUAGCAGCAAUAAAACUAAACCCACCCGAUGAUGAUGAUUAAGUCCUGAUCUGCAGAUCUGCGUGGUCGUCGUCUCGCGCUCUGUUCAAACGUAUAAAACUUUAUUACACCCCGCAGGAGGAAGUGACACACUGGCAGGGUUGGGGUUUUUUUUGUGUCCCCCCCGAGUUAUGGCCCCCUGGUGACAUUUUAAACGUUAUAGAACAGGACUUUAAAACUGUGAGAGCGGUUUAUAAAACUCCGAGUUAUUUAUCGCUUCCUCCAGCAGGCGAGCUUCACGUCCGCUGCAGGGUUUCUCACACCGAGUUCUGUUUAUUCCUAUUUUUAUUUUAAAGUUUUAUUUAGAAAUGUUAAAACGUCCUGCUUUUUAUUACAAAGACAGUGUUGCCAUGGCAACCGAGGCCAUUACCGGGUCAAUGACGGCCUGUUAUCGAGCGGCUCAGCUGACGUGAUAACAAGCCUUUUUUUUUUUUUUUUUUAACUUUUUCAUUUUGUACCUUUAUUCGGCUACAUUCAAGAGGAAGCUCACUUUCGCAUAAAAUUUACAUAUUUACAUAUAUUAGGAAUAUGCUAUAUGACAAAAAAAUCACAAAAGGUUGGCCAAGAAGCGUCUUGCAAAACUGCGUUUAAAGUGUUGUGUUUAAAGAAAAAUGUAAACAUAUCUAUAAGUUUAUAUAAAAAUAAACAAUUAAAUAAAUAAUUUAACAAUGAGGAUUUUUUAAUGUUUUAUUUAUUUAGUUAUUUAUUUAUUUAUUUAUUUAUUUAUUUUUACCAUCUUUAAAGUUUACUACAAAAAAGUUAUUGGUUAUAAAUUUACUACAAAACUGUUUCUGAUCAGUUUGUAAAUAUUUUUGUAAAAAACAAUUUAAAUUUAAAACAUAUAUAUUGCAAUACCUGCGAUAUCUCAGUAUUAUUAUUGUAAAAUAAAAAAGUGUGAAUUUUCUUCAGGGAUUAAUAAAGUCAUCUAUCUAUCUAUCUAUCUAUUGAUCUGCCUAACCUCAAACAGGAAGUAAGUAACGUGGCAAGUUGAACCAAUCACAUCGCAGCGUGAGAGCAGAGAGCUGACACACCUGAUGUGGAACACACCACAGAUCUGUUAAAGAGAACCCCAAACCAACCGUUUUCAACAGAACCCAAUGUAGAACCAGAACCCAAACUAGAACCAGAACUAGAACCAGAACUAGAACCAGAACCAGGGUUUGGACUCCUACCUGUAGCGAGACUCAGAGUUAUAUAAUACGAACACAGAGCUCACUCUGUGUUCAUCAGAAUCUCAUUAUAAUCUCAUUAAUAUUCAAAUGAGCGUGAAUACGAAUACAUUUAAAUAAUUAUUCAUGUAGAAUUAGUAAAGGAAUGCAAAGAAGCGGGUCUGGAGCGGAACACUCAAACACAGCGCCGUCUCACCGUGGGGUGUCACGGUGUGUGUGUGUGUGUGUGCGUGUGUGUGUGUGUG
ensembl:lncRNA